rnacentral:rRNA from 1 species
GGGUUGUGAGGUUAAGCGACUAAGCGUACACGGUGGAUGCCCUGGCAGUCAGAGGCGAUGAAGGGCGUGCUAAUCUGCGAUAAGCGCCGGUAAGGUGAUAUGAACCGUUAUAACCGGCGAUACCCGAAUGGGGAAACCCAGUGUGACUCGUCACACUAUCAUUAACUGAAUCCAUAGGUUAAUGAGGCGAACCGGGGGAACUGAAACAUCUAAGUACCCCGAGGAAAAGAAAUCAACCGAGAUUCCCCCAGUAGCGGCGAGCGAACGGGGAGGAGCCCAGAGCCUGAAUCAGCAUGUGUGUUAGUGGAAGCGUCUGGAAAGGCGCGCGAUACAGGGUGACAGCCCCGUACACAAAAGCGCAUGUGCUGUGAGCUCGAUGAGUAGGGCGGGACACGUGGUAUCCUGUCUGAAUAUGGGGGGACCAUCCUCCAAGGCUAAAUACUCCUGACUGACCGAUAGUGAACCAGUACCGUGAGGGAAAGGCGAAAAGAACCCCGGCGAGGGGAGUGAAAAAGAACCUGAAACCGUGUACGUACAAGCAGUGGGAGCCCCACCACCAAAGCAUUCUCUGGUGUUGAAGGCCCUGCAAAGCAGCAUCGCGGUGGCGGAGCGUCGUUUGCGACGCCCAACACACAAAACAAGCGGUGAGUGCUUUGGGGUGGGGUGACUGCGUACCUUUUGUAUAAUGGGUCAGCGACUUAUAUUCUGUAGCAAGGUUAACCGAAUAGGGGAGCCGGAGGGAAACCGAGUCUUAAUUGGGCGUUAAGUUGCAGGGUAUAGACCCGAAACCCGGUGAUCUAGCCAUGGGCAGGUUGAAGGUUGGGUAACACUAACUGGAGGACCGAACCGACUAAUGUUGAAAAAUUAGCGGAUGACCUGUGGCUGGGGGUGAAAGGCCAAUCAAACCGGGAGAUAGCUGGUUCUCCCCGAAAGCUAUUUAGGUAGCGCCUCGUGAAUUCAUCUCCGGGGGUAGAGCACUGUUUCGGCUAGGGGGCCAUCCCGGCUUACCAACCCGAUGCAAACUGCGAAUACCGGAGAAUGUUAUCACGGGAGACACACGGCGGGUGCUAACGUCCGUCGUGAAGAGGGAAACAACCCAGACCGCCAGCUAAGGUCCCAAAGUCAUGGUUAAGUGGGAAACGAUGUGGGAAGGCCCAGACAGCCAGGAUGUUGGCUUAGAAGCAGCCAUCAUUUAAAGAAAGCGUAAUAGCUCACUGGUCGAGUCGGCCUGCGCGGAAGAUGUAACGGGGCUAAACCAUGCACCGAAGCUGCGGCAGCGACGCUGAUGCGUUGUUGGGUAGGGGAGCGUUCUGUAAGCCUGCGAAGGUGGCCUGUGAGGGUUGCUGGAGGUAUCAGAAGUGCGAAUGCUGACAUAAGUAACGAUAAAGCGGGUGAAAAGCCCGCUCGCCGGAAGACCAAGGGUUCCUGUCCAACGUUAAUCGGGGCAGGGUGAGUCGACCCCUAAGGCGAGGCCGAAAGGCGUAGUCGAUGGGAAACGGGUUAAUAUUCCCGUACUUGGUGUUACUGCGAAGGGGGGACGGAGAAGGCUAUGUUGGCCGGGCGACGGUUGUCCCGGUUUAAGCGUGUAGGUGUGUGUUCCAGGUAAAUCCGGUUCACUUUAACACUGAGGCGUGAUGACGAGGCACUACGGUGCUGAAGCAACAAAUGCCCUGCUUCCAGGAAAAGCCUCUAAGCAUCAGGUAACAUCAAAUCGUACCCCAAACCGACACAGGUGGUCAGGUAGAGAAUACCAAGGCGCUUGAGAGAACUCGGGUGAAGGAACUAGGCAAAAUGGUGCCGUAACUUCGGGAGAAGGCACGCUGACACGUAGGUGAAGUGAUUUACUCAUGGAGCUGAAGUCAGUCGAAGAUACCAGCUGGCUGCAACUGUUUAUUAAAAACACAGCACUGUGCAAACACGAAAGUGGACGUAUACGGUGUGACGCCUGCCCGGUGCCGGAAGGUUAAUUGAUGGGGUCAGCGCAAGCGAAGCUCCUGAUCGAAGCCCCGGUAAACGGCGGCCGUAACUAUAACGGUCCUAAGGUAGCGAAAUUCCUUGUCGGGUAAGUUCCGACCUGCACGAAUGGCGUAAUGAUGGCCAGGCUGUCUCCACCCGAGACUCAGUGAAAUUGAACUCGCUGUGAAGAUGCAGUGUACCCGCGGCAAGACGGAAAGACCCCGUGAACCUUUACUAUAGCUUGACACUGAACAUUGAGCCUUGAUGUGUAGGAUAGGUGGGAGGCUUUGAAGUGUGGACGCCAGUCUGCAUGGAGCCGACCUUGAAAUACCACCCUUUAAUGUUUGAUGUUCUAACGUGGACCCGUGAUCCGGGUUGCGGACAGUGUCUGGUGGGUAGUUUGACUGGGGCGGUCUCCUCCUAAAGAGUAACGGAGGAGCACGAAGGUUGGCUAAUCCUGGUCGGACAUCAGGAGGUUAGUGCAAUGGCAUAAGCCAGCUUGACUGCGAGCGUGACGGCGCGAGCAGGUGCGAAAGCAGGUCAUAGUGAUCCGGUGGUUCUGAAUGGAAGGGCCAUCGCUCAACGGAUAAAAGGUACUCCGGGGAUAACAGGCUGAUACCGCCCAAGAGUUCAUAUCGACGGCGGUGUUUGGCACCUCGAUGUCGGCUCAUCACAUCCUGGGGCUGAAGUAGGUCCCAAGGGUAUGGCUGUUCGCCAUUUAAAGUGGUACGCGAGCUGGGUUUAGAACGUCGUGAGACAGUUCGGUCCCUAUCUGCCGUGGGCGCUGGAGAACUGAGGGGGGCUGCUCCUAGUACGAGAGGACCGGAGUGGACGCAUCACUGGUGUUCGGGUUGUCAUGCCAAUGGCACUGCCCGGUAGCUAAAUGCGGAAGAGAUAAGUGCUGAAAGCAUCUAAGCACGAAACUUGCCCCGAGAUGAGUUCUCCCUGAGACUUAGAGUCUCCUGAAGGAACGUUGAAGACGACGACGUUGAUAGGCCGGGUGUGUAAGCGCAGCGAUGCGUUGAGCUAACCGGUACUAAUGAACCGUGAGGCUUAACCUUACAACGCCGAAG